rnacentral:lncRNA from 1 species
CAGCAGGGCAGGAGGCGGUCUUCACGGCCUGUAUUAAAAGCAAGCCGCAAUAUGCUGAGUCCUCGCUGAAGUGGAGGACUGUGCACAUAUGUGUGUGGACAUGUGCACACGUGUGCACAUAUGUGUUGUCCUGAGACCCGGAGGAUUGACAAGAGCGCCCAGGUGUGACCUGCAGGUGACACAGGCGUCUUCCCGCCCCCCUGCUCUUCACUCCACCAAUCAGAUUUGAGGACAGGGCCUGAGGACAGCCAGAGCUGCAGCAGCCAUAACAGCAGCCCCUGCUCUCAGUUCCUGUCAGAGCAGAAAAUUCGAGGACUUUGUGACUCCCGCCCGGAGUGCUCUCGACUCCUGGAAAGGCAGGAGCAACUCCCGAGCUCAGGAGAGGCCCUGGCUACUGUGAGGAGAGGCCCUGGGCUAAGUCACUCUUGAAGGAACAUGAGUUCUCCAGGCCUGGGUUUGUCUUCUGGGGAAACCAAGUGGGGUUCGUGCAGCUUUCACCAGGAGCGCGCUGCUCAUGGGACGGAGCUCCGGGAGCUUGUCUGCUGCGGACCUCGGGAAGACCCUGGUCCUGAAGGUGGCACCGAGUCCCAGACAGCCAGCUCCCCGCUUGCUAUCCCGAGGUUCAAAGGAGUUUUGCAUACCGUCUGCCUAUGGUCCCUUAGACCGAACCCCAGCUCUGCAGCCUCACAGUCAUUAACCGGCCACAUGCACGGCGUGAAAGGGACUGGGAAGUCUGACCAGGGGCACCAGGAGCAGUCUGUGUUGGGCAGCUCUCACCAAGGAGCCUUGUCUAGUAAGGGGUGUUUGGAAGGUGAUUACUAAGAUGAAUUUGUCAAAUUUGAAACAGCAUUAUUUUUGACAUAAAAAACUAAGCUUCUAUAUGUGGAAUUUCUGAUAUUUUGUAGACAAAGGACAAACAGAAGUAAAGAAGGAGAAAGAAGAUGAGGAAAAAAAAAUAUGUUGGAAUUAAUCCAGUUUAUACCGUCUGGUCUCAUUCUAUCCAAUGCUCAUCCGCUCUGCUCCUAUCCUGCCCUUCCUGCUCUACUCGGAUGGCACUACAGCAAAUGCCAGGAACUGUGGGAAACAAAGUGAUAAUUAUAACACCUCGUUAGUGUAAUGACGUCAUCUGCCAGAAGGUGAACUUUCUCUGUUGCUGCAGGAUGAAGACAUUUGGAGCAUAUUUAAGGAUAGGUGUCAGAAGGUGCAGUGGACACUGAGGGACUGCUCUCUAGCAGGCCCUGUUUACCUUGUGAGCUGGGUGGGGAAUUUCAGAGGCAAGGCUGGAGCCAGAGGAAAGUAAACGCAAUUAAGAUGUCAUACGUAUAUGUUCCAGUUCCCCAAGAUGCAUGCAAAUCCCUGUGUACCUUAUCGACAUCACAUAUACCAAUAAACAUUACUCACUGAAUAAAGACCUUC